GAAAUAAGCAGGGCAUAGGUAACAGGAAGGGGAGGACACACAGCUCUCACUAGACUAUCAGAGGGAGAUCCAUACAGUCUCUGGGGAGAUCACAGACUAGCAGCGUGGAUCACCACGGGUCAAACCAGAGACGAACUAACUACAUGACAACAUACACCUGGCCCCACUCUGUGCUGAGGAGUCUGUGGCUGUGCAGGCGUCCCUCGGCGUCCAGGCUGCGGUCCAGCACGUCCACCCCGACCACGUUAGGGUUCAUGGGGUUGGGGUACUUUCUCAUUGCAGCCUUGAUCACUGUCUCCCAGGGAGUUUGAUGCUGCAGUUUCAACUGAGACACCCAGUGUGAAGGUCCCAUCGACCUUGCCCUGCAACUACAUCUCACUUCAUUCUGCUUCAAUAAUAAUCUAUGACAAUGACGACCAGUGUGACCCACCUGAAAACAUGCUCCGUGCUCCAAAUCUUCAUUUUGUUCUUCUUAUCAGAAUUCUCGGUGAAACCCCUCUCUCAGAUCCCUCACCGGACCAUGUUCGUGUGAGGAACUAACUCCACUGGCCAGAGAACAGGGCCUGUGAUGGAAGCUCACGACCAUCAAUGAAGAGGGUCCCAGGAGCGCAUCUCUGCUUUUCUCCGCAUUUCUGUCGUGCGUAUCAGCUGCGUACAGAAGCACUGGUCCACCCGUGGCACAAUGUGAGUCCCGGGAUAAUAGCAAGAAAAGAUUCACUCUGCAGAUCAGAGCAAACGGCUCGUACAUGUAGAGAGGACAAGAGAAAAACCGGUGCAACAGCGGAGCUACCGAGUGUCCAGUUAGACAGAGUGAGAUACAGGAUUGUGGCCAGUGACAUCAAAAUAAAACAAUUUUCACGCUCUUA